rnacentral:rRNA from 1 species
UNGUAGGUGGCUUGUUGCGUCGUCUGUGAAAUUCCGGGGCUUAACUUCGGGGCGGCAGGCGAUACGGGCAUAACUAGAGUGCUGUAGGGGAGACUGGAAUUCCUGGUGUAGCGGUGGAAUGCGCAGAUAUCAGGAGGAACACCGAUGGCGAAGGCAGGUCUCUGGGCAGUAACUGACGCUGAGGAGCGAAAGCAUGGGGAGCGAACAGGAUUAGAUACCCUGGUAGUCCAUGCUGUAAACGGUGGGCGUUAGGUGUGGGGACCGGUUUGGUUUCUGUGCCGGGGCUAACGCAUUAAGCGCCCCGCCUGGGGAGUACGGCCGCAAGGCUAAAACUCAAAGGAAUUGACGGGGGCCCGCACAAGCGGCGGAGCAUGUGGAUUAAUUCGAUGCAACGCGAAGAACCUUACCUGGGUUUGACAUGCACCAGACGGUUGUAGAGAUACGUACCUCCCUUUGUGGUUGGUGUGCAGGUGGUGCAUGGUUGUCGUCAGCUCGUGUCGUGAGAUGUUGGGUUAAGUCCCGCAACGAGCGCAACCCUUGUCUUAUGUUGCCAGCACUUUGGGUGGGGACUCAUGAGAGACUGCCGGGGUUAACUCGGAGGAAGGUGGGGAUGACGUCAAAUCAUCAUGCCCUUUAUGCCCAGGGCUUCACACAUGCUACAAUGGUUAGUACAACGCGCGGCAAACCUGUGAGGGUGAGCGAAUCGCUGAAAGCUAAUCUCAGUUCGGAUUGGGGUCUGCAACUCGACCCCAUGAAGUCGGAGUCGCUAGUAAUCGCAGAUCAGCAAUGCUGCGGUGAAUACGUUCCCGGGCCUUGUGCACACCGCCCGUCACGUCAUGAAAGUUGGUAACACCUGAAGCCCAUGGCCUAACC